rnacentral:rRNA from 1 species
UACAACGAAGAGUUUGAUCCUGGCUCAGGAUGAACGCUAGCGGGAGGCUUAACACAUGCAAGUCGAGGGGCAGCAUUUCUAGCUUGCUAGAAGAUGGCGACCGGCGGACGGGUGCGUAACGCGUAUGCAACUUGCCUAUAACUUAGGGAUAACUUGGAGAAAUCCUUGCUAAUAUCUAAUGUGAUCAAAGAUUCGCAUGUUUUUUUGAUUAAAGAAUUUCGGUUAUAGAUAGGCAUGCGUCCUAUUAGCUAGUUGGUAAGGUAAUGGCUUACCAAGGCGACGAUAGGUAGGGGGCCUGAGAGGGUGAUCCCCCACACUGGUACUGAGACACGGACCAGACUCCUACGGGAGGCAGCAGUGAGGAAUAUUGGUCAAUGGAGGCAACUCUGAACCAGCCAUCCCGCGUGAAGGAUUGACGGCCCUAGAGGUUGUAAACUUCUUUUAUAUAGGAAUAAACAUAUGUACGUGUACGUAUUUGAAUGUACUAUAUGAAUAAGCAUCGGCUAACUCCGUGCCAGCAGCCGCGGUAAUACGGAGGAUGCAAGCGUUAUCCGGAUUUAUUGGGUUUAAAGGGUCCGCAGGCGGACCAGUCAGUCAGUGGUGAAAUCCCAUCGCUCAACGAUGGAACUGCCAUUGAUACUGCUGGUCUUGAGUCUAGUUGACGUAGGCGGAAUAUGACAUGUAGCGGUGAAAUGCAUAGAUAUGUCAUAGAACACCAAUUGCGAAGGCAGCUUACGAAACUACGACUGACGCUCAUGGACGAAAGCGUGGGUAGCGAACAGGAUUAGAUACCCUGGUAGUCCACGCCGUAAACGAUGAUCACUCGAUGUCAGCGAUAUACUGUUGGUGUCUUAGCGAAAGUUUUAAGUGAUCCACCUGGGGAGUACGUUCGCAAGAAUGAAACUCAAAGGAAUUGACGGGGGCCCGCACAAGCGGUGGAGCAUGUGGUUUAAUUCGAUGAUA